AAACUCAAGGUAUUCAGUUGCAAGCUCAAGAUGCUGUAAUAAACUCUUUAAAAGAGCAAGUAGCAUUUUUGAUGAGUCAGAGACAUAGUUCUAGUGGUUUGCAGGCGACAGAUGGAUCUAGUGGCAUUCCGGACCAAGCUUCUCUACAAACACAUCAAAGAUCCUCUUUUGGGAGUCAUGAAAUGCAACCUUCUAAUCGAGGAAAUAAGAUAAUA